rnacentral:rRNA from 1 species
GAUGAACGCUGGCGGCGUGCUUAACACAUGCAAGUCGAACGGUGAACGAGGGAGCUUGCUCCCUCCGGAUCAGUGGCGAACGGGUGAGUAACACGUGAGCAAUCUGCCCUGGACUCUGGGAUAAGCGUUGGAAACGACGUCUAAUACCGGAUACGAGGCGUGGGGGCAUCCCCAACGCCUGGAAAGAACUUCGGUCCAGGAUGAGCUCGCGGCCUAUCAGCUAGUUGGUGAGGUAACGGCUCACCAAGGCGACGACGGGUAGCCGGCCUGAGAGGGGGACCGGCCACACUGGGACUGAGACACGGCCCAGACUCCUACGGGAGGCAGCAGUGGGGAAUAUUGCACAAGGGGCGCAAGCCUGAUGCAGCAACGCCGCGUGAGGGACGACGGCCUUCGGGUUGUAAACCUCUUUUAGUAGGGAAGAAGCGAAAGUGACGGUACCUGCAGAAAAAGCACCGGCUAACUACGUGCCAGCCGCCGCCGUAACAC